UCUCGGAACACAAGCUCGUCAUUGACAUUUGGUUGGCUACCGCCUGACUUUUUUCAAGGAGUAAUAUCCCUGUAUAAAUCUCGUGAUGACCGGUUGUCACUCUCGCACUACCAUCCUCCACAAAGUCUACCAUGCUUCCACAUAGCUUUAGAAACCUUCCAUCGUCUUCUCAUAUAUAUUAUUUAUAGUAGUAUAUGCUCUUGAAUGAAUUCUUAUAAAUCAUUUGUUCAGGUAUAUACUUGAAAUCUUGAAUUUGGAUAAAGUAAUAUCAAACCACACAGAAGAAGGAUCAAUUACCUGCCGGAGGUUUACUUGAUCAUUUUCUAGAUUAGGGCUGCAAUUUUUGUCAGGGGAGGAAUUUUUUUGGGAUUGCAAAUAUUUGCGCUAGAAAGUCAUGCUCUAUGUGAACUCUGAAUCUGCGAGUAUUGGCUUGAGAUGUUUAUAUUAUCAUCCAGUGAGAAGCUGUUUUACUUCAUCACUAUUCAGCCAUUAGCAAUUUGCUGAGUUUGUCUUAAGCUACUAAAUAUGAAUGUUCAUUUCUAUAAGCUGCGGGUAAUUCAAUGUCUUGACAUAUGAAAACUACAUUGAGAUCAGUAUAACAGUAUCAACAUGGUGGGAUUCAUCAUAUUUUAUGAGCGUCAUAUUUCUGAAUCACCUGCUUUGUUUUGUCUCUGAAAACUUUCUGGGCCUCGAAUACUUGAUGCAAACUUGAGGAAACAAGUGUGAAGCAGAUGCGACUUGGAACCUUACGAGACCAUAUGCUUGCAGAUUGUGAUGCUAUUCAAUUGCAGACACAGCUGAAUUUGAACAUGUCCUAAGUCAUUUGUCUUGAUUGUGUUAGCUGGUUGAUUACACGCCGGGAUUUCAAGGUGCUGUAUCGACUCGAGUACACUCAUAUAGCAUGAUCAACUAUUCGAUAUGUGUACAUAUAUACUACUAGUAUGUGAUUGUAAAUAGCUUUUGAGCCUUUUCUUGCCUUGGAUCCCAAGGGGGAACAUGGAUAAUAGCGUCUGAAUAUACUAGGAUACGCAUAAUAGUUGCCUUUUAGUACUUGAUUCUGAGGUAGUCAAAUUUAUCUAUACUGUUGCUUUAAAUGUGGACAAAAUUAAGAUUAAAUUACUUAUCUUUGUUAAGUUAGUGCAUAUAUGCAUUUUAA